CACCUCUAGCAUAACUAGUAUUAGAGGCACUGCCUGCCCAGUGACAAUCGUUAAACGGCCGCGGUAUCUUGACCGUGCAAAGGUAGCAUAAUCACUUGUUCUCUAAAUAAGGACUUGUAUGAAUGGCCACACGAGGGUUUUACUGUCUCUUACUCUUAAUCAGUGAAAUUGACCUCCCCGUGAAGAGGCGGGGAUAAUACAAUAAGACGAGAAGACCCUAUGGAGCUUUAAUUAAUCAACUCAAAAAGCACAAAAUAAUACCACUAAGGGAUAACAAAGCUUUAGAUGAGCUGACAAUUUCGGUUGGGGUGACCUCGGAGUAUAAAAAACCCUCCGAGUGAUUAAAACUUAGGCCUACUAGCCAAAGUAUAGUAUCACUUAUUGAUCCAAAAUUUUGAUCAACGGAACAAGUUACCCUAGGGAUAACAGCGCAAUCCUAUUCUAGAGUCCAUAUCGACAAUAGGGUUUACGACCUCGAUGUUGGAUCAGGACAUCCUAAUGGUGCAGCAGCUAUUAAGGGUUCGUUUGUUCAACGAUUAAAGUCCU
rnacentral:rRNA from 1 species